GACGAACGCUGGCGGCGUGCUUAACACAUGCAAGUCGAACGGAAAGGCCCUGCUUUUGUGGGGUGCUCGAGUGGCGAACGGGUGAGUAACACGUGAGUAACCUGCCCUUGACUUUGGGAUAACUUCAGGAAACUGGGGCUAAUACCGGAUAGGAGCUCCUGCUGCAUGGUGGGGGUUGGAAAGUUUCGGCGGUUGGGGAUGGACUCGCGGCUUAUCAGCUUGUUGGUGGGGUAGUGGCUUACCAAGGCUGUGACGGGUAGCCGGCCUGAGAGGGUGACCGGCCACAUGGGGACUGAGAUACGGCCCAGACUCCUACGGGAGGCAGCAGUGGGGAAUAUUGCACAAUGGGCGGAAGCCUGAUGCAGCAACGCCGCGUGCGGGAUGACGGCCUUCGGGUUGUAAACCGCUUUCGCCUGUGACGAAGCGUGAGUGACGGUAAUGGGUAAAGAAGCACCGGCUAACUACGUG
rnacentral:rRNA from 1 species